rnacentral:rRNA from 1 species
UACGUAGGCGGUUUAUUAAGUCAGAUGUGAAAGCCCCGGGCUUAACCUGGGAACUGCAUUUGACACUGGUAAACUAGAGUAUGGUAGAGGGGGGUAGAAUUCCUAGUGUAGCGGUGAAAUGCGUAGAUAUUAGGAGGAAUACCAGUGGCGAAGGCGGCCCCCCUGGACCAAUACUGACGCUGAGGUACGAAAGCGUGGGUAGCGAACA